AUGGCCUGCAGAGGGGGGGCACAAGGGGCUGAGACCCUAUUGGGGCAGGGAGGGGACAGAAUGGGAAUGGAGGCAGGAAAGGAUGUGCCACGCUUGGGCACAGUGUGUGGCUGCAUGGUGAUGGCGAGGUGCAGGGAGCCACGGCCGUGGCCCCAUCUCUGGGUGUUUGGGGUUGAGGACACAGCCUGGGCAUUGCCAUCCAGCCCCCUGCUUUUGCAGCCCCCACCCCAAGCAGAGCCAUCCCUGCAGCAUCCCAUGCUUGCAGUGGAUGCCACUGGAUGUCACCCUUGUGCUGUGUGCGCCCAUGCCGGCCCCACGUCUGUCCCCACAGCCACCCUCACCCCACACACGUGUGUGCACACACAUGCACAGCCCCCAGCCUUGGCCCCUGGGGAUUUCUCAACCCCUGCUGGGGAAGAAGAGGAGCCCAUCCAGAGCAAACCUGGCAGUGGGGAAAGGGCUCUGAGGCUGGGCCCCCCCCCUGCAGCCGCACCACCACUGACCUUUGCACAAGCGGCCAUUGGAGAGGAUAUAAAGUCAGAACUUGGGGCAGCCCCCACUGAGCAAAGCCAAAGCACAGCGUGGCCAGCCAUGAAGGUCUCCAUCCUGCUCCUGCUCAUCUGCACGGCCAUCCUGGCGGUGGGAGCACGAGCUGAUGCUCCCGAUAAGACAGACGUGGUGGUGAAGAAGGUGCAGGAGUACGUCAAGCAAGCCACUGAGGCAGUCAAGACGGCCUUCACCACAGUGCAUGAGUCAGAGGCAGCUCAGCAAGCCAGGAGGUGGCUGUCGGACAAUGCCAACCUGGUGAAGCAGCAGCUGGCACGGCUGAAGGAGCAGCUGGCUGAACUCUGGAAGCUGACGCCGACCGCGUAGCCCAGCUGUGGGCUGGUGGGGGCUGACUGGGUGCGGGUCCUGUCCCCCAUCCCACACACAGCACCAUUUCCCUUUUGUUGUGGUUCUUGAAAUAAAGUGGAGUUGGAGUGAGAUG
rnacentral:lncRNA from 1 species